CCUACGGGAGGCAGCAGUGAGGAAUCUUGGUCAAUGGACGAAAGUCUGAACCAGCCAAGUAGCGUGAAGGAUGACUGCCCUAUGGGUUGUAAACUUCUUUUAUAGUGGAAUAAAAUGUUCCACGUGUGGGACUUUGUAUGUACCGUAUGAAUAAGGAACGGCUAACUCCGUGCCAGCAGCCGCGGUAAUACGGAGGGUACGAGCGUUAUCCGGAUUUAUUGGGUUUAAAGGGAGCGUAGGUGGUUUGUUAAGUCAGUUGUGAAAGUUUGCGGCUCAACCGUAGAAUUGCAUUUGAAACUGGCAAUCUUGAGUACAGUAGAGGUGGGCGGAAUUCGAGGUGUAGCGGUGAAAUGCUUAGAUAUAACGAAGAACUCCGAUUGCGAAGGCAGCUCACUGGACUGCAACUGACGCUGAGGCUCGAAAGUGUGGGUAUCGAACAGGAUUAGAUACCCUUGUAGUC
rnacentral:rRNA from 1 species